UACGUAGGGGGCAAGCGUUGUCCGGAAUUAUUGGGCGUAAAGAGCGUGUAGGCGGUCCGGUAAGUCGGCUGUGAAAGUCCAGGGCUCAACCCUGGGAUGCCGGUGGAUACUGUCGGGCUCGAGUCCGGAAGAGGCGAGUGGAAUUCCUGGUGUAGCGGUGAAAUGCGCAGAUAUCAGGAGGAACACCAAUGGCGAAGGCAGCUCGCUGGGACGUGACUGACGCUGAGACGCGAAAGCGUGGGGAGCAAACAGG
rnacentral:rRNA from 1 species